rnacentral:rRNA from 1 species
GUCCACGCCCUAAACGAUGUCUACUAGUUGUUGGGAGAGUAAAAUCUCUUAGUAACGCAGCUAACGCGUGAAGUAGACCGCCUGGGGAGUACGGUCGCAAGAUUAAAACUCAAAGGAAUUGACGGGGGCCCGCACAAGCGGUGGAUUAUGUGGAUUAAUUCGAUGCAACGCGAAAAACCUUACCUGGCCUUGACAUGCUACUAACGAAGCAGAGAUGCAUUAGGUGCCCGAAAGGGAAAGUAGACACAGGUGCUGCAUGGCUGUCGU